AGAGCAGGAAAGGAAUGGAGGAAUCUGGCCAGAGCUGUGCCCCUGCUUGCCACAGGAGCUGCGCGGGAGGAGAAGAAUGUGGGCCAAAAGGAAUGGAGGACUCUGGCCAGAGCUGUGCCCCUGCUUGCCACAGGAGCUGCGCGGGAGGAGAAGAAUGUGGGCCAAAAGGUAAGAGGAGCUCCUUUGGGUUCUGGGCUUGAAGCAAAGCUGAGAAGCCAUGCCCGGGAGGAGGUGUGGGUAGCUACAGGCCAGCUUGCUAUCUCCCCAAGAGAUGAGGUGUGUGGGCUAGGCACCGGGCAGGAGUGCUGGCCAGAAGCAAGCAUCUCUGUGGAGGAAGGCAAAGGGCGGAGGAGGUUCAAGGGUAGCUACCGGGCAUGGCCUUGCUCAGCAAGGGGAGGAAAAGCGUGAAGGGCACGAGAAGGGGACAGAGAAGGGCAGGCAGUAGGCGUGAAGCUGUGAGCAGAGUAGAGAGCAACUUGGCAGAGCAGCACGCAGAGUAGGCAAGUGUUGGGGUUUGGCGUGAGUAGCAGCAAAAGCCAUAGCAUCAAGAGCAGGAAGUGAGGAGAAGGUAAGUGAAGGGCAGGCAAGGUACUGGGAGGCAAAGGCAAGGGGAAAGGGGAGGGUAAGAAAGAAAAGAGGGGAUGGGGAGGGGAGGGGAUGGGUGAAGAGCAGAGCGGAGGGAAGGGCUGAGGGGAGGGCUGAAGGCAAACCUGUGAUGAAAAAGGAAAAGAAAAAAUAAGAACAAAAAAUAUGAAAAAAGAGAAAAAAGAAAAGAAGAAUAAGAAAAAGAGAAAAAAUGAAAAGAAAAAAAGAAAAAAUGAAUGAAAAAGAAAAAAAGAGUAAAGAAAAAAAAGAUAAAAAAGAAAAGAGAAAAGAAAAAAGAGAAAAUAGAAAUAAAAAGAGAAAAGAGAAAAAUAUGAAAAAAAGAAAGAAAAGAAAAAACUAAUAGAUGAAAACAAAAAAGCAUACAAAAAAACGAUUAAUGACAAGAGAAGAAAGGUAAAGAGAAAAGAAGAAAAAAGCCAAGUGAAAAAGUAAAGAAUAACUCAAAGGAAGGAGUGGAUGGCAAGAAAUACAGAGAAAGCCAUGCAUAGCAGAGCAAAGGAAAGCAAGGCAAAAUAGCAGCCAAAGCCACGAGAAUCAAGAAGUCAGUGAAGAGCAGGAAAGGUAAGUUUCCCUUAAAGCAAGGGGGAAUGGUAGUGGAUGGGGGCAAAAGAGAGGGGAGGGGAGGGGAAGUGAAGGAGAGGGGGGAGAGGGGGAGGAGCAGUGGGGCUAGAGGGGGUGAGGGGGCGAGAGGGGGAGGGAGGAGGGGUGGAGAGGGGCAGAGGUGAGGGGGGUGAGUAAGUGGGGGUGUGGGUGGCUGGGGGGGGAGAGGAGAGAGGGUAGGAAGGAAAAAAUUGGAGGUAGGGUGAGGGAAGGGGGAGGGUUGAAGGGAAACUAAUGAAACAGAGGACAAAGGAGAAUAACAAGUCAAAAGCAAUGCAUGUAAAUACAGAGCAAGCAAGUAGGAAAGCUAGGCAUAGCACAGCAAAAGAGAGCACAGCAACAGAAGGCAAAGAAUGACAAAAAGCAACCUUGCAGGAAUGGAGGACUCUGGCCAGAGCUGUGCCCCUGCUUGCCACAGGAGCUGCGCGGGAGGAGAAGAAUGUGGGCCAAAAGGUAAGAGGAGCUCCUUUGGGUUCUGGGCUUGAAGCAAAGCUGAGAAGCCAUGCCCGGGAGGAGGUGUGGGUAGCUACAGGCCAGCUUGCUAUCUCCCCAAGAGAUGAGGUGUGUGGGCUAGGCACCGGGCAGGAGUGCUGGCCAGAAGCAAGCAUCUCUGUGGAGGAAGGCAAAGGGCGGAGGAGGUUCAAGGGUAGCUACCGGGCAUGGCCUUGCUCAGCAAGGGGAGGAAAAGCGUGAAGGGCACGAGAAGGGGACAGAGAAGGGCAGGCAGUAGGCGUGAAGCUGUGAGCAGAGUAGAGAGCAACUUGGCAGAGCAGCACGCAGAGUAGGCAAGUGUUGGGGUUUGGCGUGAGUAGCAGCAAAAGCCCAUAGCAUCAAGAAGCAGGAAGUGAGGAGAAGGUAAGUGAAGGGCAGGCAAGGUACUGGGAGGCAAAGGCAAGGGGAAAGGGGAGGGUAAGGGAGAAAAGAGGGAUGGGGAGGGGAGGGGAUGGGUGAAGAGCAGAGCGGAGGGAAGGGCUGAGGGGAGGGCUGAAGGCAAACCUAUGAUGAAAAAGAAAAGAAAAGAAAAAAUAAGAACAAAAAAUAUGAAAAAAGAGAAAAAAGAAAAGAAAAAUAAGAAAAAGAGAAAAAAUGAAAAGAAAAAUGAAAAAAUGAAUGAAAAAGAGAAAAAAGAUAAAAGACAAAAAGAAAAUGAACAAAAAAGACAAAAAAGAGAAAAGAAAGAAAGAAAAUGAACAAAAAGAGAAAAAAGAGAAAAGAUAAAAAAAGAAAAAAAAAGAAAAGAAAAAACUAAUAGAUGAAAACAGAAAAAGCAUACAAAAAAACGAAUAAUGACAAGAGAAGAAAGGUAAAGAGAAAAGAAGAAAAAAGCCAAGUGAAAAAGUAAAGAAUAACUCAAAGGAAGGAGUGGAUGGCAAGAAAUACAGAGAAAGCAGUGCAUAGCAGAGCAAAGGAAAACAAGGCAAAAUAGCAGCCAGAGCCACGAGAAUCAAGAAGUCAGUGAAGAGCAGGAAAGGUAAGUUUCCCUUAAAGCGAGGGGAAUGGUAGUGGAUGGGGGCAAAAGAGAGGGGAGGGGAGGGGAGGGGGGGAAGUGAAGGAGAGGGGGGAGAGGGGGAGGAGCAGUGGGGCAAGAGGGGGUGAGUGGGGCGAGAGGGGGGAGGGAGGAGGGGUGGAGAGGGGCAGAGGUGAGGGGGUGAGUAAGUGGGGGUGUGGGUGGCUGGGGGGGAGAGGAGAGAGGGUAGGAAGGAAAAAAUUGGAGGUAGGGUGAGGGAAGGGGGAGGGUUGAAGGGAAACUAAUGAAACAGAGGACAAAGGAGAAUAACAAGUCAAAAGCAAUGCAUGUAAAUACAGAGCAAGCAAGUAGGAAAGCUAGGCAUAGCACAGCAAAAGAGAGCACAGCAACAGAAGGCAAAGAAUGACAAAAAGCAACCUUGCAGGAAUGGAGGACUCUGGCCAGAGCUGUGCCCCUGCUUGCCACAGGAGCUGCGCGGGAGGAAGAAUGUGGGCCAAAAGGUAAGAGGAGCUCCUUUGGGUUCUGGGCUUGAAGCAAAGCUGAGAAGCCAUGCCCGGGAGGAGGUGUGGGUAGCUACAGGCCAGCUUGCUAUCUCCCCAAGAGAUGAGGUGUGUGGGCUAGGCACCGGGCAGGAGUGCUGGCCAGAAGCAAGCAUCUCUGUGGAGGAAGGCAAAGGGCGGAGGAGGUUCAAGGGUAGCUACCGGGCAUGGCCUUGCUCAGCAAGGGGAGGAAAAGCGUGAAGGGCACGAGAAGGGGACAGAGAAGGGCAGGCAGUAGGCGUGAAGCUGUGAGCAGAGUAGAGAGCAACUUGGCAGAGCAGCACGCAGAGUAGGCAAGUGUUGGGGUUUGGCGUGAGUAGCAGCAAAAGCCCAUAGCAUCAAGGAGCAGGAAGUGAGGAGAAGGUAAGUGAAGGGCAGGCAAGGUACUGGGAGGCAAAGGCAAGGGAAAGGGGAGGGUAAGGGAGAAAAGAGGGAUGGGGAGGGGAGGGGAUGGGUGAAGAGCAGAGCGGAGGGAAGGGCUGAGGGGAGGGCUGAAGGCAAACCUAUGAUGAAAAAAGAAAAAGAAAGAAAGAAAAAAGAAAAAAAAUAAGAAAAGAGAAAAGAAAAGAAAAAGAAAAGAAAAGAGAAAAAGAUAAAAGAAAAAAAAUGAAAAAAGAAAAAAGAGAAAGAAAGAAAGAAAAUGAACAAAAAGAGAAAAAAGAGAAAAAAAAAAGAAAAGAAAAAAGAAAAGAAAAGAAAAAAAAAUAAAAAUAAAAAAGAGAAAAGAGAAAAAUAUGAAAAAAAGAAAAAAAAAAGAAAAGAAAAAACUAAUAGAUGAAAACAGAAAAAGCAUACAAAAAACGAAUAAUGACAAGAGAAGAAAGGUAAAGAGAAAAGAAGAAAAAAGCCAAGUGAAAAAGUAAAGAAUAACUCAAAGGAAGGAGUGGAUGGCAAGAAAUACAGAGAAAGCAUGCAUAGCAGAGCAAAGGAAAGCAAGGCAAAAUAGCAGCCAAAGCCACGAGAAUCAAGAAGUCAGUGAAGAGCAGGAAAGGUAAGUUUCCCUUAAAGCAAGG
rnacentral:lncRNA from 7 species